rnacentral:lncRNA from 1 species
AUCUACAAUGUAGACGUUUAAAGAGUUUUAUUUAGGGGGAGAUUUUCUCUCUAAUAGUUUUAUGUUUUCUUUCAUAUUAGGUUUUUAUAUGUAGGCCAAUUGGCCAAACUAUAUAAUCAUCAUAUUUUUAGUAUGUUUUUCUUUUCGUCUGAUUUAUUGUCUCAAUAGUUUGCAACUAAUAGCUUCCGCAUGACGCCCUCUCAAUUUCAAACCCAACAAGUGGUAUCGGAGCUUACGGUUCAAAGGUCCAAAAGUUUUGUGAAACGAGGUUGAAGACAAGUUCAAGGCGGUUCAAAUCAAUUUGAUGAUAAUGAAGAUAUAUGCCCAAAAAAGCUGCAUGUGGAGAAAAAUUUCAAACAAAUGUUCAACAAUCCUGCUGCUAAUCCAUCUUUAAAAUCAAAAUCAAUUUUCAACCCAUGUUUAUGGGCUUCAAUUUUCAACCCAUACUUGCUUUAAAGCUUGAGCUCCUUUCAAAUCGUCCAUUUAUUUUUACCGCAUGAGCUUCACUCUUAACCUGUGCUAACUUUCAAUGCACAAGGUUCCACUUUCAAUCUUAUCAACUCGUGUUUUUAUUUUUAAUGCAUAGGGCUCCAAUUUUAACUCAUAUCAAUUUUUAAUCAUGGUAAGCAGCAGUAUAUGAAGAAUAUAUGAUGAACGAAGAUCAUGCACAAAAAGAAGGCGGAUCAAAUGAAGAAAAUCAAGCCAAAAAGGAGAGAUUUGUUAGGAUUUUUGCCCCAAUUUUCUUACCAAAUUUUAAGUUUUACUUUUUCUUAUAAGGAAAAUAAAAGUAACCAUAAAUACUUUUACUUUUCCUGAAAGGAAAAUAUAAAACUUUUCCAUAUUUGGCUGACAGGAAAGAUUUUGGAUAUCUAUAAAUAGAAGACCUCCUUUCUCAUACCAAUAACACAAUAACAUCUACAAUGUAGUCGUUUAAAGAGUUUUGUUUAGGGAAAAAUUUUAUCUCUAAUAGUUUUAUGUUUUCUUUCAUAUUAGGUUUUUAUAUGAAGGUCAAUUGGCC